UCAGACUGAAAAUGGUCUCAGGUGUUACCGUGAUCUGAGGUCAGAUAACUGAGCCCACAGUGAUGCAGCACGUUAUGCUUAUCACCUGCUCACCUGUUGGCAGAGCGAUAAAACCCAUGUGCCAACACUU